rnacentral:rRNA from 1 species
UACGUAGGUGGCAAGCGUUGUCCGGAAUUAUUGGGCGUAAAGCGCGCGCAGGCGGUCCUUUAAGUCUGAUGUGAAAGCCCACGGCUCAACCGUGGAGGGUCAUUGGAAACUGGGGGACUUGAGUGCAGGAGAGAAGAGUGGAAUUCCACGUGUAGCGGUGAAAUGCGUAGAGAUGUGGAGGAACACCAGUGGCGAAGGCGAGUCCCUGGACGACUUCCUGACACUGAGGCACGAAAGCUAGGGGGAGCAAACAGG